GGCGGUGUAGCUCAGUGGUAAGAGCAGCGGCUUCAUAAGCCGUGUGUCGUAGGUUCAAAUCCCACCACCGCUA
rnacentral:tRNA from 1 species